CCUUUGGGUCCAACCUCCCACCCGUGUUUAUUUUACCUUGUUGCUUCGGCGGGCCCGCCUUUACUGGCCGCCGGGGGGCUCACGCCCCCGGGCCCGCGCCCGCCGAAGACACCCCCGAACUCUGUCUGAAGAUUGAAGUCUGAGUGAAAAUAUAAAUUAUUUAAAACUUUCAACAACGGAUCUCUUGGUUCCGGCAUCGAUGAAGAACGCAGCGAAAUGCGAUACGUAAUGUGAAUUGCAAAUUCAGUGAAUCAUCGAGUCUUUGAACGCACAUUGCGCCCCCUGGUAUUCCGGGGGGCAUGCCUGUCCGAGCGUCAUUGCUGCCCUCAAGCCCGGCUUGUGUGUUGGGCCCCGUCCUCCGAUUCCGGGGGACGGGCCCGAAAGGCAGCGGCGGCACCGCGUCCGGUCCUCGAGCGUAUGGGGCUUUGUCACCCGCUCUGUAGGCCCGGCCGGCGC
rnacentral:rRNA from 1 species